rnacentral:rRNA from 1 species
GAUUGACCUCGGAUCAGGUAGGAUACCCGCUGAACUUAAGCAUAUCCAUUAGCG